CCGAGUUAGGUACUACUUCCCGACCUCCAACCCUGUGUAACAUACCUAAAACGUUGCUUCGGCAGGAACCGCCGGCCCCAUGGUACCCCGGGGCCUUACCGCUCCCCGCCUUCGAUGGCCCUCUAUAACUCUUGCUUAUAACCGUGUCUUCUGAGUAAACAAGCAAAUAAACUA
rnacentral:misc_RNA from 1 species